rnacentral:tRNA from 2 species
GUGAAUAUAGUUUAAAAAAACACUAGAUUGUGAAUCUAAUGAUAGAAGUCCACUACCUUCUUAUUUACC